GACAGAGGUGCCGAGCGUUAGGCGGAAUCACUGGGCUUAAAGCGUGUGUAGGCGGAUUCCUAAGUACCUUGUGAAAUCCCACGGCUUAACCGUGGAACUGCUUGGUAUACUGGGUGUCUUGAGCCAACUAGGGGCGACCGGAACAAACGGUGGAGCGGUGAAAUGCGUAGAUAUCGUUUGGAACGCCAAUGGUGAAAACAGGUCGCUGGGGUUGUGCUGACGCUGAGACACGAAAGCCAGGGGAGCGAACGGA
rnacentral:rRNA from 1 species